rnacentral:rRNA from 1 species
AUUGCCCCAGUAACGGCGAGUGAAGCGGCAACAGCUCAAAUUUGAAAUCUGGCCCCCAGGGCCCGAGUUGUAAUUUGCAGAGGAUGCUUUUGGCGAGGUGCCUUCCGAGUUCCCUGGAACGGGACGCCAUAGAGGGUGAGAGCCCCGUCUGGUUGGACGCCGAGCCUCUGUAAAGCUCCUUCGACGAGUCGAGUAGUUUGGGAAUGCUGCUCUAAAUGGGAGGUAUAUGUCUUCUAAAGCUAAAUAUUGGCCAGAGACCGAUAGCGCACAAGUAGAGUGAUCGAAAGAUGAAAAGCACUUUGAAAAGAGAGUUAAAUAGUACGUGAAAUUGUUGAAAGGGAAGCGCUCAUGACCAGACUUGGGCCCGGUGAAUCAUCCAGCGUUCUCGCUGGUGCACUUUGCCGGUGCCCAGGCCAGCAUCAGUUUGCCCCGGGGGAUAAAGGCUCUGGGAAUGUGGCUCCCUAGGGAGUGUUAUAGCCCAUUGCACAAUACCCUGUGGCGGACUGAGGUUCGCGCAUCUUGCAAGGAUGCUGGCGUAAUGGUCAUCAGCGACCCGUCUUGAAACACGGACCAAGGAGUCGUCUUCGUAUGCGAGUGUUCGGGUGUCAAACCCCUACGCGUAAUGAAAGUGAACGCAGGUGAGAGCUUCGGCGCAUCAUCGACCGAUCCUGAUGUUCUCGGAUGGAUUUGAGUAAGAGCAUACGGGGCCGGACCCGAAAGAAGGUGAACUAUGCCUGUAUAGGGUGAAGCCAGAGGAAACUCUGGUGGAGGCUCGCAGCGGUUCUGACGUGCAAAUCGAUCGUCAAAUAUGGGCAUGGGGGCGAAAGACUAAUCGAACC